AGUGCAGGUCUGGUUAAAAUUAGACGGGGGAAAAACCUUGGCGGUACUUUAGGAAUGGCAAAUAAGGGAAAGGCCUGCAGGAAUGGCAAAGCUGCCUUAGGGUUGGACCGGCCUGUUACCUUUUCCGGUGUCCAGACGUCGGCUCAUGAAAUCGCUCAUUUGUUGAACGCUGACCAUGAUGGUCACGGCACAGCAAAGAACUGCUCAGGUGAUGAGGGUUACAUAAUGAGCAGCCCACGAAGGAACGGGAAUAACAGCUGUGCAUUUUCCAACUGCAGCAAGAAUGACAUCGCCGACUUUUUGACGUGGCGAUAUUCAAAAUGUAUAUUUCGAAAAGACGUAUGCCACGUCAUUUCUCUACCAAACAAGGCGGCAGACUUUCCAGGGGAUGUAAUGAAUGGGCAAACAUUCUGUAAUGAAUACUACAGGGAACCCAGAUACUUGAACU